rnacentral:rRNA from 1 species
UUGAACGCUGGCGGCAGGCCUAACACAUGCAAGUCGAACGGUAACAGGAAGCAGCUUGCUGCUUUGCUGACGAGUGGCGGACGGGUGAGUAAUGUCUGGGAAACUGCCUGAUGGAGGGGGAUAACUACUGGAAACGGUAGCUAAUACCGCAUAACGUCGCAAGACCAAAGAGGGGGACCUUCGGGCCUCUUGCCAUCGGAUGUGCCCAGAUGGGAUUAGCUUGUUGGUGGGGUAACGGCUCACCAAGGCGACGAUCCCUAGCUGGUCUGAGAGGAUGACCAGCCACACUGGAACUGAGACACGGUCCAGACUCCUACGGGAGGCAGCAGUGGGGAAUAUUGCACAAUGGGCGCAAGCCUGAUGCAGCCAUGCCGCGUGUAUGAAGAAGGCCUUCGGGCUGUAAAGUACUUUCAGCGGGGAGGAAGGGAGUAAAGUUAAUACCUUUACUCAUUGACGUUACCCGCAGAAGAAGCACCGGCUAACUCCGUGCCAGCAGCCGCGGUAAUACGGAGGGUGCAAGCGUUAAUCGGAAUUACUGGGCGUAAAGCGCACGCAGGCGGUUUGUUAAGUCAGAUGUGAAAUCCCCGGGCUCAACCUGGGAACUGCAUCUGAUACUGGCAAGCUUGAGUCUCGUAGAGGGGGGUAGAAUUCCAGGUGUAGCGGUGAAAUGCGUAGAGAUCUGGAGGAAUACCGGUGGCGAAGGCGGCCCCCUGGACGAAGACUGACGCUCAGGUGCGAAAGCGUGGGGAGCAAACAGGAUUAGAUACCCUGGUAGUCCACGCCGUAAACGAUGUCGACUUGGAGGUUGUGCCCUUGAGGCGUGGCUUCCGGAGCUAACGCGUUAAGUCGACCGCCUGGGGAGUACGGCCGCAAGGUUAAAACUCAAAUGAAUUGACGGGGGCCCGCACAAGCGGUGGAGCAUGUGGUUUAAUUCGAUGCAACGCGAAGAACCUUACCUGGUCUUGACAUCCACAGAACUUUCCAGAGAUGGAUUGGUGCCUUCGGGAACUGUGAGACAGGUGCUGCAUGGCUGUCGUCAGCUCGUGUUGUGAAAUGUUGGGUUAAGUCCCGCAACGAGCGCAACCCUUAUCCUUUGUUGCCAGCGGUCCGGCCGGGAACUCAAAGGAGACUGCCAGUGAUAAACUGGAGGAAGGUGGGGAUGACGUCAAGUCAUCAUGGCCCUUACGACCAGGGCUACACACGUGCUACAAUGGCGUAAACAAAGGGAAGCGAGCCUGCGAAGGUAAGCAAAUCCCAAAAAUAACGUCUCAGUUCGGACUGCAGUCUGCAACUCGACUGCACGAAGAUGGAAUCGCUAGUAAUCGCGAAUCAGCAUGUCGCGGUGAAUACGUUCCCGGGCCUUGUACACACCGCCCGUCACACCAUGGGAGUUGGUAACGCCCGAAGUCAGUGACCCAACCUUUCAGGAGGGAGCUGCCGAAGGCGGGACUGAUAACUGGGGUG